UAGCUUGACACUGAACACUGGUCCUUGAUGUGUAGGAUAGGUGGGAGGCUUUGAAGCGUGGACGCCAGUCUGCGUGGAGCCAUCCUUGAAAUACCACCCUUUAAUGGCUGGUGUUCUAACGUAGACCCGUUACCCGGGUUGCGGACAGUGUCUGGUGGGUAGUUUGACUGGGGCGGUCUCCUCCCAAAGAGUAACGGAGGAGCACGAAGGUUAGCUAAUCCUGGUCGGACAUCAGGAGGUUAGUGCAAUGGCAUAAGCUAGCU
rnacentral:rRNA from 1 species